AACGAACGCUGGCGGCAUGCCUAACACAUGCAAGUCGAACGAGACCUUCGGGUCUAGUUGCGCACGGGUGCGUAACGCGUGGGAACCUGCCCUUAGGUUCGGAAUAACUCCCCGAAAGGGGUGCUAAUACCGGAUAAUGUCUUCGGACCAAAGAUUUAUCGCCUUUGGAUGGGCCCGCGUUGGAUUAGCUAGUUGGUAGGGUAAAAGCCUACCAAGGCGACGAUCCAUAGCUGGUCUGAGAGGAUGAUCAGCCACACUGGGACUGAGACACGGCCCAGACUCCUACGGGAGGCAGCAGUGGGGAAUAUUGGACAAUGGGCGAAAGCCUGAUCCAGCAAUGCCGCGUGAGUGAUGAAGGCCUUAGGGUUGUAAAGCUGUUUUACACGGGAUGAUAAUGACGGUACCGGGAGAAUAAGCUCCGGCUAACUCCGUG
rnacentral:rRNA from 1 species